UCGGCCGCUACCCAAACCCCUCAAAGUCCUGCAUCUUAUCUUCUCAAUUUCUCUCUGAAGAAAACCUAUCAAUCUCACCUACAACACAUGGUUCUUCACCUAUACACCUCAUACAUGACACAAAAUCUCGUUUCACUACCCCCACCCCCCUUCGGUUCCCUGUAACCCGACAAUAAGAUUUUUAUACAAGAUGAUGAACACAAAUUUGGGCACAAGAUUAGGAUAUGAACAGCAGAAGCACAGCACCACCCACUCACACAUCAAAAGAGGCAUCGGGUUCUUCUUCUCUCUAAAAAAAGAAGUAAAAUUUAAACAAUGAACACCACUGAUUCACCUUCCAAUCUAUGAAUAUGAGUGUUUGUGUGUAUAUGUGUGAGAGAGACCACCGGUCGGUUCACCGGCCACACCCCCUUCGAUUCCCCCUUUUCCGACAACACCCACCAGCACACGACCCCCCUCUCAAUUAUAACUGCAAGCACACACACACACCAACCGCCCUCUCGUCUCUCUCGAUUCCAGCGGCUGACGCGGGCGAGGAUGGAGCCGCCGUGAAUGAUGAUGAUGGUGGUGACGAGAUCAGAUGAAGACGAUGAUGUUUUAGAGGGCCUGCGACCGGAGACGCCGCUCACGGCGGCGGUCUUUAUCUCCGACCGACAAACUUCACGAAAUUUUUAUUUCAGUAACCGGAUGCUAUAUCAGUAACCGGAUGCUAUAUCAGAUCUGGAGUAUGGAUCUUGUUCAUUUAGCUUAGAGUAUACAGGCUAAUCUUGUUGUGUUACGUUUGUAAAAAGAUGAUUGUCUGAUAUUUAUCGGCAUCAAUGGAGAAGUUGUUGACAUGUUGCUUGGCACCUCCACUUCAACCAUCCGUGUGUCGGAUAUGCAAGCAAGAAUGAAUAUAAGUUGCCAUUUGGAUUUGGAUUUAGAUUUCGAUUGGGAGUGCGAUUCAACCAUCCGUGUGUCGGAUAUGUAAUUUUAUUUUCUUUAUGCUCGUAGAUUUUAUACAUUUUUUUUAUGUAAAUUUGUAUAAAUUUAUGGUUAAUGUUAUUCAAUUUUUAUAGUUU